rnacentral:rRNA from 1 species
UAGGUGAACCUUCGGAAGGAUCAUUACCGAGUGAGGGCCCUCUGGGUCCAACCUCCCACCCGUGUCUAUCGUACCUUGUUGCUUCGGCGGGCCCGCCGUUUCGACGGCCGCCGGGGAGGCCUUGCGCCCCCGGGCCCGCGCCCGCCGAAGACCCCAACAUGAACGCUGUUCUGAAAGUAUGCAGUCUGAGUUGAUUAUCGUAAUCAGUUAAAACUUUCAACAACGGAUCUCUUGGUUCCGGCAUCGAUGAAGAACGCAGCGAAAUGCGAUAAGUAAUGUGAAUUGCAGAAUUCAGUGAAUCAUCGAGUCUUUGAACGCACAUUGCGCCCCCUGGUAUUCCGGGGGGCAUGCCUGUCCGAGCGUCAUUGCUGCCCUCAAGCACGGCUUGUGUGUUGGGCCCCCGUCCCCCUCUCCCGGGGGACGGGCCCGAAAGGCAGCGGCGGCACCGCGUCCGGUCCUCGAGCGUAUGGGGCUUUGUCACCUGCUCUGUAGGCCCGGCCGGCGCCAGCCGACACCCAACUAUAU